rnacentral:sRNA from 1 species
UCGCCUCGACGGUCCUGCGACCAGCCGAA